rnacentral:rRNA from 1 species
GACGAACCGUGCGAACGUUGUUCGGAAUCACUGGGCUUAAAGGGCGCGUAGGCGGGCACGCAAGUCAGGGGUGAAAUCCCCCGGCUCAACCGGGGAACGGGCGCCGAUACGACCGUCCUGGAGGGACGUAGGGGGACCUGGAACUUCCGGUGGAGCGGUGAAAUGCGUUGAGAUCGGAAGGAACGCCCGUGGCGAAAGCGAGGUCCUGGACGUUUUCUGACGCUGAGACGCGAAAGCCAGGGGAGCGAACGGG